UGGGGAAUUUUGGACAAUGGGGGAAACCCUGAUCCAGCCAUCCCGCGUGUGCGAUGAAGGCCUUCGGGUUGUAAAGCACUUUUGGCAGGAAAGAAACGUCGCGGGUUAAUACCCCGCGAAACUGACGGUACCUGCAGAAUAAGCACCGGCUAACUACGUGCCAGCAGCCGCGGUAAUACGUAGGGUGCAAGCGUUAAUCGGAAUUACUGGGCGUAAAGCGUGCGCAGGCGGUUCGGAAAGAAAGAUGUGAAAUCCCAGAGCUUAACUUUGGAACUGCAUUUUUAACUACCGGGCUAGAGUGUGUCAGAGGGAGGUGGAAUUCCGCGUGUAGCAGUGAAAUGCGUAGAUAUGCGGAGGAACACCGAUGGCGAAGGCAGCCUCCUGGGAUAACACUGACGCUCAUGCACGAAAGCGUGGGGAGCAAACAGGAUUAGAUACCCUGGUAGUCCACGCCCUAAACGAUGUCAACUAGCUGUUGGGGCCUUCGGGCCUUGGUAGCGCAGCUAACGCGUGAAGUUGACCGCCUGGGGAGUACGGUCGCAAGAUUAAAACUUAAAUGAAUUGACGGGGUCAUA
rnacentral:rRNA from 1 species